GCGCGAAAACUUUACAAUGCGGGGAACCGCGAUAAGGGGACACCGAGUGCCAGCAUCCUAUGUUGGCUGUCCAUAUGUCUAAAUCACAUGUGUUAGCAAGGGCCGGGCAAGACCGGUGCCAGCCGCCGCGGUAACACCGGCGGCCCGAGUGGCGGCCACUAUUAUUGGGUCUAAAGGGUCCGUAGCCGGUUUGGUCAGUCUUCCGGGAAAUCUGACGGCUUAACCGUUAGGCUUUCGGGGGAUACUACCAGGCUUGGGACCGGGAGAGGUAAGAGGUACUACGGGGGUAGGAGUGAAAUCUUGUAAUCCCUGUGGGACCACCAGUGGCGAAGGCGUCUUACCAGAACGGGUCCGACGGUGAGGGACGAAAGCUGGGGGCACGAACC
rnacentral:rRNA from 1 species